rnacentral:rRNA from 1 species
AGUGAACGCUGGCGGUAGGCCUAACACAUGCAAGUCGAACGGCAGCACAGUAAGAGCUUGCUCUUACGGGUGGCGAGUGGCGGACGGGUGAGGAAUACAUCGGAAUCUACUUUUUCGUGGGGGAUAACGUAGGGAAACUUACGCUAAUACCGCAUACGACCUACGGGUGAAAGCAGGGGAUCUUCGGACCUUGCGCGAUUGAAUGAGCCGAUGUCGGAUUAGCUAGUUGGCGGGGUAAAGGCCCGCCAAGGCGACGAUCCGUAGCUGGUCUGAGAGGAUGAUCAGCCACACUGGAACUGAGACACGGUCCAGACUCCUACGGGAGGCAGCAGUGGGGAAUAUUGGACAAUGGGCGCAAGCCUAAUCCAGCCAUACCGCGUGGGUGAAGAAGGCCUUCGGGUUGUAAAGCCCUUUUGUUGGGAAAGAAAAGCAGCAGGUUAAUACCCCGCUGUUCUGACGGUACCCAAAGAAUAAGCACCGGCUAACUUCGUG